AUUGAGUCAUCACAGACAGCAUGCUUAACUUAGAAAUAGCCCAACUGAGCGCAAGUACCCAAAGCAGCAAUAGAAUCUGAAUUGUACGCACACUUAAAAUUCCUUCAAAUUGCAUUAGACUGAGAACAACCUACUUGCUCAUUUUCCCAGCAACAUUAUGAGGAUGGACGCCAUGGUAUGUGCUACCUUGUAAAUGCCUUAUUCACAUGGGUAAGAACGCACUAUUCACCCAGGACUACUCAGGGAAGCAAGCGCCCAUCAGUGUAAGCAGGUGAAGGCUGUGGUGCAGAGGUGACAGACAGUCUCCGGGGCAAGGACAGGGCUGACUAUUUCCUUCUGUAGCAUUCCCUGAUGUCUAAUUAUAGAGGUGCACUUGCGUCACAUUGAGGGAUACCACUCUCUUGCCAGCCCAGCCCAGAGGUACACUGCAGAAACCAUUAAAACUAAGCAGGUGGAGCCUCAGCAAAGGGAACAAGAAAUGAAGUCCAGGAAGAUUUGAAGAAGCCCCCACUGGACUUCUCACUCCUGUUUAUUACCAAGGGCUUAUCUAUAUUGGGUUUGAUUUUUUUUUUUUGCACUGGUAUAGUUACGCUGAUGGAAACAGAUCUGUGUAAACCCCUAACACACACGUGAUGUACCCUGUUAAAUGUGAUUUGCAACAGUGAGACUCAAACUAGU